rnacentral:piRNA from 2 species
UCCUAGUUGUACACUUUUCUGUGUGGCCUU